GAUUGAUGAAAAAAGUAGAAGAAGAUUUGAAACCAUGAUAAUUUGGUUACGCAGACGGCGAGGUAGGUUAAAUGACGUGGCUGAAUGAUUGGUUGUGAAUAUUUUAGCUGACGUGGACAGUUUAGAAUUGCUUCAAUUUAGCUGCUUUUAUAUAGCGGAGAUUAUGCUACUGUUGUGCUAUAUACUUUAAACAUGUUAAAUACAUUAAUAAAAAGUAUCAUUAAUCUACUGAAAUUUCUGGUGUUUCAUGAUUAUUUAGCGGUACAUCCGUUCAACUUAAAUAUAUCCACUUCUGAAUUAUUAAAUUAGAAGUUAGAACUUACAUUAUACUAUUCAUGAUUCAUCUGAUGUACCAAUCAAAUUCAAAAUUAACAAAUCUGUUUUGGGUAUUAUUUUAUUUUAUGCAUUUGAUCGAUACAUAAGGCGGAUUAUUACUCUGAUCUUAUGGUCUCAUACAUAACAAUUGUUCAUUGAUCGGAUUAUUUAUUACAUACAUACACUCAAAUCAUAAAACUCGAAUUCAAACUUAAAACAUUACUACACCAAAUCUCGGUUUUUGCUUUUAUUCAAUACCAACAUCAAAGUAGGUAUCUAAAGUAAUAAUACGAUAGAUCACCUUAUAAUAUAUAUGCACACAUUCUUUCCAU